GCAAGUCGAACGGUAACAGAACUAGCUUGCUAGUUGCUGACGAGUGGCGGACGGGUGGGUAAUGCUUGGGAAUUUGCCUUUAGGUGGGGGACAACAGUUGGAAACGACUGCUAAUACCGCAUGUUAGCUACGGUUCAAAGGGGGCUUCGGCUCCCGCCUUUAGAGAAGCCCAAGUGGGAUUAGGUAGUUGGUGAGGUAAAGGCUCACCAAGCCAACGAUCCCUAGCUGGUCUGAGAGGAUGAUC
rnacentral:rRNA from 1 species